GCCUUGGCUGGCAUCAUGGAGUUUGGGGUCUGGGGGGCUCAGUGACAGCCUUUCCUCUCCCAAGGUUCGCUCUGCAAUUUGCUGUGUAAGUGGGAAUGGGGAUCCCAGCACCCGUUGCCUCCCAAGGCUGCGUUUUUUUUGGGGGGGUGUCAACUACCUGCAUGGGAACAAGCGAUGCCAGGACACAGCCUCGGUGCCCACGGGGUUUUCCUGCCCCAGGGUCUGUAUCUGACCUGGCUUCUCUCCAUCGGGAUUGCUGGCUGCAAGGCGGCCUCCCGGGGGUUAACGGCUGUGAGUGGAGAUGCCGGUUGGGUUGGUUGGAUUUCUUUCCCUUUAUUAUUAUUACUACUUUUUAAUCUCAUGCUGCUCUGAACACCUGGUUUCUGCCUGAUGCUGAGAGCUGCCAAAAUUCCCUUUUAGGCAAAAACACGUUCGUGUUUGUGGGAGCAGGGUCGCAGCUGGCUCCCCCCUCCCAGCCGUGCUCUUUCCCUCAGCUGAGCGGUGCUCUUGGGGCCCCUGGGUGCAGCACCGCCAAACCUGAGCCCAGGGGAGCAGUACGAGCUGGGUGAGGUGAUGCCAUUUCUUUAAUGAUAAGCAGCUGCCUAAUUAAAAAAAAUAAAUAAAAAUGCCAGUUGCAAGUCGUUUCUGUGGGACAUGCCACUUGCUGGUGCCUCUGGGGAGCUGAAGCUCGGCUCUGGCAGGGCUGGAUCACUCUGCCUGGUGGCACCGGCCCCACCAGGGGCUUGGACCACCUCAGAUGGGACUUCCCAGAUGUGGCUCGUGUCCCACAGCUCUUGGCCACCUGGGGACUUUGGCUGCUGGAGCUGAAGUUUAACCUGAAUCUUCCCUGCUCCAGGAGCAGCAGCCCAGGAUUUGAGGCUCUGCGGGGAGGACAGCAGCUGGGUGCCUGAGGAAACGAAAGCGAGAUGCAAAUUGUGGGAGGUGAAAGAGGCAAAACAUGCCUGAGGCCUUCCUCUUACAGCGGCUUUACCUCUUCUUAUCCCCCCCAGGAGGACGCUGGAGCUGGUGGGUAGGGGCAGCUCUGGGUCACGGGAGCACGUUCUGCUGGUGGAAGGAGGCUGCCUUGCAAUUUGGCUUUUGAGGGGUUCCUUCGUGCUGGGGACAGAUUCGUGUUUAAAUCAGGAGGGGGCUUUAACCAAAGGUGUCGGGGUCUCCAGCUCCACUCCCGAUCACUGGCACUGGUUGGUUUCUCUAGCUGUGAACUGCAGAGCUGAAGACCCCUGGGAGCAGUUGAAUUUGUGAACAGAAACUGAGGCCAAGGAGCAGCUCUGCCCCCGGCUUGCUCCUGCUGUACCUGGAGCCUAAGGACCAGCCACCCUGACCCGACUGUGGGGUCUCUCUGUUCUUCUGAAUGGGGUGCGGGGGUAACUUGGUCCGGAGAAGACCUCAGAGGCUCAGGUCCCUGCUGCCCCAAGCAGACAGGGUUGCUCAGGGCUUUCUCCAGCUGGAUCCUGAGAACUUCCAAGGAUGCAGACUGCUCAGCCCCUCUGUGCUGGGCUGUACCCAGUGUUCCUCCUUUUUAAAAUUUAUUUUUAUUUUUAGCCCAGUUGCUCUGCCCCUUGUGUCUCAGUUGCUGUGUUCCCCCUUCAUGUUUCUUUGCACACUUGGCGAGCACGAAGACCACUUUCUCCCAGCCUGGAAGAACCUCAUGGCACAAACCCCUGGCACCCACGGCCAAGUUGUUGGGACACAAAAAAUCAGGAGGGGCCCUGGGUAGGUCCUGGGUAGGAGAGUCCCUGGUGGGAGAACAGGGGCUUGGUGCCUCCUCCCAGGGUUGGAUGGGUGCUAGGGGCAGGGGACACGGACAGGCGGGGACACAGACAGGCACACAGCUCGCUCCUUCGGUAUCUUUUAUUAAUGUAUAGAAAAUGCAUUAAAAAAAGGAACUAUA